rnacentral:lncRNA from 1 species
AUGAAGUGUGAUUUGUUGCAAUCUUUUUUUUUUUUUUCUGCAGAUGUUGCUGGCAGUGCUACACCACAUCUCAUUGAUAUGUUAGAGGUGAUGGAAAGGGAACCUGGAACUAAGGUAAUUCUAUACAUGGGCCAAGGAGCUUUUAGAAGAAUUUGGGUUCCUUCAAAGAGCAGCAAAACGUUUAAACCUCAUAUUUCAGCUGAGAGUUUCUCUAUGAGUAACUCAUUAAAAACUGCAAGCGUAAUCACUCGAGUAUUUCUGUGUGGGAGCAACUUUAGGCAGAUUUCAUCUUCUAAGUAAGAAUCUGCUGCAAGAUAAGGAACUAGAGGAACCACAAGUAAAUGUCAAAAAGAUCCACAAGGAUUGUGAACCAGUCCCCUGCUCAAUUAUUCUGCCAUUAUGAACUGAGUGUGAACUGAUGGUAAUUGAAGCGAGAAAGGCACUAAAACAUUUUCCAAAGCACCAUCUGCAAUGAAUCAGAGGAAUGAAGAUAAAAUGACAAGGACAUUUAAUGACAGGAUUGUGCCCCUGCCCGCCUUUCUGCUUAAAAAGGUCUGGCCAGAUUCCAGUUAGAAAUGAUCCCAGCACAAUGAGUAUACCAUUUCUCUGUCAUGUGUAACUGGGCUUCACAGAGAUAUUUGAAGAAUGCAGUUAAGCAUCUCUUUGAAAUAUGGACUCUUCCCAACCUUUCCAGUGCUUGUGAUAGUCUGAGCUGAUCUCUUUUCCUCACAUUUUUUCUACCCUCAAAAAAGAAAAAAAAUCUGUAUAAUUUGGGAGGCAGCAUCACUGGGAAUGAAUGCACAUGGGUAUUAUGCCUCAUGAGGAAAUCCAGUGUAUGCAGGAUCAUCCCAGGCAUUCAUCCUCUUCCUCACAGCCCUCCCCGCUCUGUCCUCACCUAGUCAUAUCCUCUCGUAGCACACCACAGACCCUCACCUGCAUUCUUAUAACUUGGGAGCAAUGCAUCCUAACAAAGAGGACUUCAGGCAAAAACUCCAGGAGAUCUGCAAGGAUGAAAAAGGAGCAAGAUCCUGGACAAGCAUAAGGAGAAAGAAAAUCUACAGCUGGCAGAAAUAAGGAUAGGUAGCCUGGGAGGAAUACAGAGAAAUUGUCUGAGCAUUCAAGGGUCAGUUAGGAAACUAGUGCCCUGAUAGAAUUCAGUCUGGCCAGGGACAUCAAGGGCAACAAGAAAAACUUCUAUAGGUGUGCUGUUGAUAAAAGGAAGAAAAGGAAAAAUAAAGGGCCCCUCCAAAAGGGAGACCUGACUAUC